AACAUUGGUAAUGUAGACAAUAAUAAUAAACAUUUGCAGAUCUCAAAUAUUUUUCUUACUUAUAAAAUAAUAGUUUUGCCCCUGUAUUAUUUUAUAAAAUAUUUAAAAUAUUUUUUUGAACCUGUACAUUCCUAAGAAGGCAUUUUUAUGGGGAACAAGUCAGCCUUCUUCAGACUUCCAUAUAGCUUUCUAAAAUAUUUUCUUAUCUUGGUGUUGUUUAGAAACAAUUUCAUACAGUACAGGUAAUUAUGAUGUUUGAAUUCCCUCCUAUUCAGUUAUGUUGGCCCCAAGUCAGUUUAAGACAUUUCAGUUCUCUAAAGCUUUUGUUUAACUGGACAACUGUGCAUUUGAGCAGGAUAGAAGUACCUUUGUUUUACAACUUUUCAAGAAAUUUGUGGUUUUAUAUGUUUCAUUUUAAGUGUUUCUGCUGAAUUUCAGUAAAACCACUUUUAACAGAUUCCUAGGGGGAGAGGAUGUCCAUUACUUUUAACUACAUAAUACAUAUGAAAGUCAUUGUAAUUUGUGUCAUUAAUGUAAUAAUGCCAUAAGGUAAAUGAAGCAAAUCACAUCAUAUAUCUCAAUUUAUGACAUUACAUCUGGACUAUUUAAAUUAACCAAUCUGUCUGAUGAAAAUUGGGUCUGUUGCAUUGGAAAUAAACUAAAUAGGGCUUUCUAAUAACACUACAAUUAUUGAUUUUAAUUAUAAUUAUUCUAAAGUGUUAUUAAUUGUAAAUAUUUUUAUAAUUAAUAUUGUUAGUAUUGUUAUUAAAACAAGAAUGUGGAAUAUACAUUUUAUAAAUAAAUUGUUAGGGUUUUUUCAGGUUUAUUAAUGAUGAUUCAAGAUUCUUGGUCAGUUAAAUUGUUUUAUUGCCUUCUACUAUAAAUGAUUUUUAUCUUAGGAGAGCCAAAAUAAUAAAUUUUCAAAACAAAUAAGCCACAUCAGAGAAUUCUUAUUUAAAGUCUAUUUUAUACUUCAUUGCUUUUAUGCUACAUAUUUCUGAUUUAGAGUUUCAUACUGAACAGAAUUCUUCUCUGACUUUCUAAGAUGCAAUGACUAUUUUAUCAUCCUGUUCCACUUUACUAAAUCUUAUGAAUAGCACCUUUGUUGAUAUAAGAAGCUCAACUGCUGUAAGUUAUACAGACUACUCCAUUUUCUUGCAGCUGGCUGGAGAAAGGCUUGGAUUCAAUUAAAGGUACAGAAUCUCUUACAGAAAAGCAAACUACUUAACCAUAUAUAAGAACCCAAGGGCUAAUGGAUUUUAUGGAAUAAAAUACUGCCAGCUGCAUCUAAGAAAAGUUGGAAAGGAGCUAGAAGCAAUAAGUAAACAGGCAUCCAUGAGUCAGCUAACCCAGACAUACUGGUUGUCCAUUGAAAAUGAUUCAUAUGUAGUGCAUAAAAUGAGAGGAACAGUUAAGAUGGUACAGCUUUCUAAAAGGAGAAAAUAAUGGAAAAUUGAGAUCACCAUUUGCAAGCUCCAAUUUCUCCAAUAAAAAAAAAUCCAUUAGUGACAAAAGCUGAGAUGUUUUUAUCAUUGUUUUAUGUUUAUUAAUGUCCUUCCUACCAUGUUUGCUUUUAAAAUAAGAAUAUGCCUACAGCCAUGUCACCUAGUUUGCUCCUCCUACAUAAACUGCACCUCUAUUUGGUUUAUUACUAUGGUCAGGCUAACAAGCCAAAAACACUUAUUGUACCUUUUCUAACUUCUGGAAUACAUAAGCCUGUAUAACAGCCUACAAUGUUAGAUUCCAACAAAGUGCUCCCGUAACAGGCCCUUGUUCAUAAUAACUUCAUCUCAUGUGUCUCUGCAUGCAAGCAAAGGACAUGUGUGUGAUAUCAUCACACAAGAUUGCAUCUUAUGUAGUCUUCUUGCAUAAGAUCAUCAAAAAGUAAGUUUUUCUUCAGUCAAAAAACAAAUACCAAAUUAACUUUAGGGUUUAUAUUAUAACUUUCUUGUCUUUCUCACCUCUAAUAGAUGAAAAUCUUUAACCAUUUUGCAAUCCAAACUCUUUAAGGCAACAUUUCAAACACAUUCAGGGCUUUUUCUUCCCAUAUAGAGUCAACCUAUCUUAUUCAACUUCCUAUCAGAAAAUUAUAUUUCUAUGAUUUUGUUCAGACAGAGGUUGAAUCCCUACCUCAUGUUCUAUUAAAGUACUAACUCUAGCAGUAGUAAAAUUUUUGAUUUAACUUAUAAAAAAUAAGUGGUGUCUUCUUCAUAAUUUUGAUUGUUUGAUUUUCACAUAAUUUUUAACAUGUGUCUUUUAAAUAUUAAACAUUGUUUAAUGUUUGUUGGUCUUGGAUUAUUAAUAACAGUAUUAAAUUACAUUGCCUUGUGAAGAAACAGUUCUUCCAGCUAACUGAUAGGUGUAUGCCAAGAAUAAGUUGAAGGGUGUCACCCCUUGGUACUGCUGGACGAGAACCAAUGACUCAUUUGCUUUAGUAAAAAAGGUAUUUUUCAAAUGCUUCCUCUACAGCAUGUUUCCAAAGGCUACAUAAGAUAUGUGCCAUAAUAAUGUACUUUACGGAGAUUCCUUAAUAAAGCAGAGGAAAAGUCA